AGUGGCGGACGGGUGAGUAACGCGUGAGAAUCUGCCUUCAGGUCGGGGACAACAGAGGGAAACUUCUGCUAAUCCCGGAUGAGCCUUAGGGUAAAAAAUUUAUUGCCUGGAGAUGAGCUCGCGUCUGAUUAGCUAGUUGGUAAGGUAAAAGCUUACCAAGGCAACGAUCAGUAGCUGGUCUGAGAGGAUGAGCAGCCACACUGGGACUGAGACACGGCCCAGACUCCUACGGGAGGCAGCAGUGGGGAAUUUUCCGCAAUGAGCGAAAGCCUGACGGACCAAGACCGCGUGGGGGAGGAAGGCUCUAGGGUUGUAAACCCCUUUUCUUUGGGAAGAACAAAAUGACGGUACCAAAGGAAUCAGCCUCGGCUAACUCCGUGCCAGCAGCCGCGGUAAUACGGAGGAGGCAAGCGUUAUCCGGAAUGAUUGGGCGUAAAGCGUCCGCAGGUGGCAAUGUAAGUCUGCUGUCAAAACCCAGGGCUCAACUCUGGUCAGGCAGUGGAAACUACAUAGCUAGAGUUCGGUAGGGGCAAAGGGAAUUCCCGGUGUAGCGGUGAAAUGCGUAGAGAUCGGGAAGAACAUCGGUGGCGAAAGCGCUUUGCUAGACCGAAACUGACACUCAGGGACGAAAGCUAGGGGAGCGAAUGGGAUUAGAUACCCC
rnacentral:rRNA from 1 species